GGAAGCGUGCCUGAAUCAAAGGAUCACUUUGAUAGAGUGAAUAAUAAGAGUUAAAACCUCUUCACUUCCU
rnacentral:tRNA from 1 species